rnacentral:rRNA from 1 species
CUCAGUUCAGAUUGCAGGCUGCAACUCGCCUGCAUGAAGUCGGAAUUGCUAGUAAUCGUAGGUCAGCAUACUACGGUGAAUACGUUCCCGGGCCUUGUACACACCGCCCGUCAAACCAUGAGAGUUGGCAACACCCGAAGUCGGUAGUCUAACCGCAAGGAGGACGCCGCCGAAGGUGGGGUUGAUGAUUAGGGUUAAGUCGUAACAAGGUACC